GCGAGGUUGGGUUGCGUUCGCUCUGUGCUCAGACGUCCCAGGGAGGAGCAAACACAGCAUCCUGCCCCACCACCGCUCCCUUUCCCGGGGAGCGGAGCGCUGGCAGCGGGCGCUGCUCUCACCAAUAGGUUACCGGCGCUCCGUGCGGGGAAAAGGAGUUUAUCUGCCGUGGAGAGGACGGUGAAUUUGCAUCUCAACGAGCACUUUUUCCUGGAAGGAAUUUGCCAUCGUGGGACUGAGAAAUCCUUCCCUCGGGUGGGCUGCCCCGAGCCUACAGCCUACGCACACACGGAGCAGGGCAGGGCAGCACAGCCCGGACGCGGGGCGGCGGAGGGUCCCCAGAAAGCAUUAGGAGGAGCUGAAAAGCAAUGACCGAAGGGACAAACCCCCCAACUGUUCAUGUCAGUGGAGGUGGGCAGAGCCGCCUGGCGUCCACCCGAGCCUGCAAACAGUGAGCGAUUCGGUAUUCCUCCCCAAUCCCCCCGGCAGCUGGAGCCGGGGAGCGGCGAGCCGUCGCCUCAUCAGGGAGAUGCCGCUCCGGGAAGGCGCAGAUAAUCGCGGCGGUGAUGAACUGCAUGAAUCAUUUAGAGGGAUGUAAUCUCGUGCCAUAUGUUAUGUGUCAGUACGCGGAGGACGUGUCACAUCCAUUAGGAUAAUGAUCUUUUGUUUUUCGCAGAAGGGCCGCUCUCUGGAAGCUGCGGAGCUGGCAGGGCAGAGGUGGGGAUGCCCGCAGCGCUGCCGUCUCUGCGAGCAAAUCAACUCACGGCUGUUUGCUUCGAAUCGUGUCUCUGCCUCCAAACCACACUCCUGCAGCUGAAUGCUAACGAGCACCAAGUGGAUGGGAGCUCGACUCACCUGAAGGGGCGAGGAGGGGAGGUUCCUCCUCUUCCCCUGAGCUUUGGCAUCCUCAUGGUGCUGUCUGUGGUGAGGCUGAAGCCCAGCACAGGGUGCUUCCCAGGGGACAGGACGCCCACCACGGUGCUAUCCGAGCAGGCAGGG
ensembl:lncRNA